rnacentral:misc_RNA from 1 species
AAGUCGUAACAAGGUUUCCGUAGGUGAACCUGCGGAAGGAUCAUUAUUGAAUACGCUUGAGUGCUGAUGCUGGCCUUUCGAGGCAUGUGCUCGCAUUCAGACUAUUUAUCUUCACUUGUGCACCUUUUGUAGUCUUUGAAGCUGUCUCCGCUGCAAAUGCGGGUUAUUGGGAGGGGCUUAGGCCCUUCCUGGGCUUCAGAGACUAUGUUUUCAUAUAACCCUUAUUAAAGUCACAGAAUGUCAUUUUUAAAGGCUUCACGGCCAUUAAACCUAAUACAACUUUCAACAACGGAUCUCUUGGCUCUC